rnacentral:rRNA from 1 species
CAGUAGCCACGGUAAUACGAAGGGGGCUAGCGUUGCUCGGAAUGACUGGGCGUAAAGGGCGCGUAAGCGGAAUGCUUUGUCGGGCGUGAAAUUCCAGGGCUUAACCUUGGGGCUGCGUUCGAGACGGGUAUUCUAGAGUGGAGAAGAGGGUCGUGGAAUUCCCGGUGUAGCGGUGAAAUGCGUAGAUAUCGGAAGGAACACCUGUGGCGAAAGCGGCUCACUGGACAAUAACUGACGCUGAUGCACGAAAGCUAGGGGAGUAAACAGGAUUAGAUACCCCAGUAGUCCCUGUCUCUUAUAC